rnacentral:rRNA from 1 species
UACGUAGGGUGCAAGCGUUAAUCGGAAUUACUGGGCGUAAAGCGUGCGCAGGCGGCUUUGCAAGACAGAUGUGAAAUCCCCCGGGCUUAACCUGGGAACUGCAUUUGUGACUGCAUGGCUGGAGUGCGGCAGAGGGGAUGGAAUUCCGGCGUGUAGCAGUGAAAUGCGUAGAUAUGCGGAGGAACACCGAUGGCGAAGGCAAUCCCCUGGGC